UGCACACCUGAACCAGAGCUGCUACCCCUGCCACCCCAGCCAAGGCAGAGAAGGGACCCAGCACCGCACUACUGCCGCUGCCGUGCCCCGAUGCAAGCUGUUGCUCAGACUCCAAGCCCCCCAGCUGUCCUGCCGCCCCCUGUUUUUGGUGCGGAGAGGAGGGAGAGGCAGAGCUGGUUCCCCUUGAUGUUGGAGGAUGAAGACAAUACACGCCCUGAAAAUUCAGCCCCGUUCUGGGUCCGGACCCCCUCACCACCACUGUUUAGAGGGCAG